AAAUUAAUAAUUUUUAAGACCGGUAUGGGAUACUUUUUAGUUUAGCAGUGUAAAAGAAUUGGAAUCGGUUGAAUCUUUGAUAGAAAAUUCUAUUCACUACCUAGAUAAAGAUCAAUAACUCCGAUCUUAAAUUGAAGGAUCCGAUCAUCUAUGUUUAGGACGUCAUUCAAUUUUGACCAUUCAUUUUAUGCCCGCUUGAUAGACUUUAUUAUGAUUUCGAAAAAUUAUGAAAUUUAUUUUUUAGAAGUUUCAAAUACUCCAGAUGAUAUAUAUAUAUAUAAAGAGAGAGAGAGAGAGAGAGAGAGAGAGUGAGUCCGGCUGGGGUACUAUCGAUAGCACCAAGCGCUUGGUACUACCAAAUUUUCUGCCGUUAGAUUUAACUAUUUGACUAUUUUUAUCCGUUAGAUUAUACUAUUCAACCAAUAACUCACUCAACCCUAGGGGACCCGUAUUAUCAUAACCGUACGUUUUUUCAUCCAAGGGUCGAAAACCAAAUAGCACCAAUAGCUUGAUGCUAUUGAUAGUAUUCCAGCCUAGUUUUAUAUAUAUAGAAUUGAGCUAGAAUACUUUUAGAAGCACGAACCCCUUUGUGCUUCUAAGUUUCUAGCCCAUGGAUCUACUUCUUGAUUACUAAUAGCCUUUAGAUCAAACACUAUUCCACCUACCACCACCUACCACCAUCAUCUCAACCUCACAUCUCUCCAUCCAAUUGCUAAAAACUCAAAAGCACCACCUUCAUGGUGCUUUUGAGAGUAUUCUAGCUCAACUAUAUAUAUAUAU
rnacentral:lncRNA from 1 species